rnacentral:rRNA from 1 species
CCUACGGGAGGCUGCAGUAGGGAAUAUUGGACAAUGGGUGCGAGCCUGAUCCAGCCAUGCCGCGUGCAGGAAGACGGCCUUCUGGGUUGUAAACUGCUUUUGCCAGGGGAUAAAACGGCUCUGCGGAGCUAAUUGAAGGUACCUGGUGAAUAAGCCACGGCUAACUACGUGCCAGCAGCCGCGGUAAUACGUAGGUGGCAAGCGUUGUCCGGAUUUAUUGGGUUUAAAGGGUGCGUAGGUGGUUCCAUAAGUCAGUGGUGAAAUACGGCAGCUUAACUGUCGAGGUGCCAUUGAUACUGCGGAACUUGAGUACAGACGAGGUAGGCGGAAUUGACGGUGUAGCGGUGAAAUGCUUAGAUAUCGUCAAGAACACCGAUAGCGAAGGCAGCUUACUAGACUGUAACUGACACUGAGGCACGAAAGUGUGGGGAUCAAACAGGAUUAGAUACCCCGGUAGUC